AAAUAUUUUGGUUGUGAGCUGGGAGCACAGACCCAGUUUGAUGUUAAGAAUGACCGUUACAUUGUCAAUGGAUCUCAUGAGGCGAAUAAGCUGCAAGACAUGUUGGAUGGAUUCAUUAAAAAAUUUGUUCUCUGUCCUGAAUGUGAGAAUCCUGAAACAGAUUUGGUAAGUGCUUUUGUGGUUGUCGAAAGAAAAAGCCAUAUACCUGCUUCUGUGAUACCGCUAAGUCACCUUCCUGAGAAGGCAGAGCAAAUGUAAUUUUAAAUCAAACACAAAACUCCAGUUUUCGAGAUAUUUCCAUUCUUUUUUUAAAAGUAGGUCACUGUGUGAAAAAAGUUUGCAUGUGAAGCUGUCUGUGGUUUAGAUGUCCUCUGAUUAGAUAUUUUCAUGUUAUAUUAUGGAUAACAUUUGUUAUUUUUUUGGCAGCAUGUCAAUCCAAAGAAGCAAACAAUAGGUAAUUCUUGUAAAGCCUGUGGCUAUCGAGGCAUGCUUGACACACAUCAUAAACUCUGCACAUUCAUUCUCAAAAACCCACCUGAGAAUAGUGACAGUGGUACAGG
rnacentral:sRNA from 1 species